rnacentral:tRNA from 1 species
GCCCCUGUGGCCUAAUGGAUAAGGCAUCGGUCUUCUAAACCGGGGAUUGUGGGUUCGAGCCCCACCAUGGGUA